UGGAAUGAAAGCCUCGCCAAUC
rnacentral:miRNA from 1 species